ACCAAGGCGACGACGGGUAGCCGGCCUGAGAGGGCGACCGGCCACACUGGGACUGAGACACGGCCCAGACUCCUACGGGAGGCAGCAGUGGGGAAUAUUGCACAAUGGGCGAAAGCCUGAUGCAGCGACGCCGCGUGAGGGAUGACGGCCUUCGGGUUGUAAACCUCUUUCAGCAGGGAAGAAGCGAAAGUGACGGUACCUGCAGAAGAAGCACCGGCUAACUACGUGCCAGCAGCCGCGGUAAUACGUAGGGUGCGAGCGUUGUCCGGAAUUAUUGGGCGUAAAGAGCUUGUAGGCGGUUUGUCGCGUCUGCAGUGAAAAUCCGAGGCUCAACCUCGGACUUGCUGUGGGUACGGGCAGACUAGAGUAUGGUAGGGGAGACCGGAAUUCCUGGUGUAGCGGUGGAAUGCGCAGAUAUCAGGAGGAACACCGAUGGCGAAGGCAGGUCUCUGGGCCAUAACUGACGCUGAGAAGCGAAAGCAUGGGGAGCGAACAGGAUUAGAUACCCUGGCAGUCCAUGCCGUAAACGUUGGGCGCUAGGUGUGGGGCUCAUUCCACGAGCUCCGUGCCGCAGCUAACGCAUUAAGCGCCCCGCCUGGGGAGUACGGCCGCAAGGCUAAAACUCAAAGGAAUUGACGGGGGCCCGCACAAGCGGCGGAGCAUGCGGAUUAAUUCGAUGCAACGCGAAGAACCUUACCAAGGCUUGACAUAUACCGGAAACAUCCAGAGAUGGGUGCCCCGCAAGGUCGGUAUACAGGUGGUGCAUGGUUGUCGUCAGCUCGUGUCGUGAGAUGUUGGGUUAAGUCCCGCAACGAGCGCAACCCUCGUUCUAUGUUGCCAGCGCGUAGUGGCGGGGACCCAUAGGAGACUGCCGGGGUCAACUCGGAGGAAGGUGGGGAUGACGUCAAAUCAUCAUGCCCCUUAUGUCUUGGGCUUCACGCAUGCUACAAUGGCCGGUACAAAGGGCUGCGAUACCGCGAGGUGGAGCGAAUCCCAAAAAAACCGGUCUCAGUUCGGAUUGGGGUCUGCAACUCGACCCCAUGAAGUCGGAGUCGCUAGUAAUCGCAGAUCAGCAACGCUGCGGUGAAUACGUUCCCGGGCCUUGUACACACCGCCCGUCAAGUCACGAAAGUCGGUAACACCCGAAGCCGGUGGCCCAACCCUUGUGGAGGGAGCCGUCGAAGGUGGGACUGGCGAUUGGGACUAAGUCGUAACAAGGUAGCCGUACCGGAGGUGCGGCUG
rnacentral:rRNA from 1 species